rnacentral:rRNA from 1 species
AUUGAACGCUGGCGGCAGGCUUAACACAUGCAAGUCGAGCGGAGAUGAGGUGCUUGCACCUUAUCUUAGCGGCGGACGGGUGAGUAAUGCUUAGGAAUCUGCCUAUUAGUGGGGGACAACAUUCCGAAAGGAAUGCUAAUACCGCAUACGUCCUACGGGAGAAAGCAGGGGAUCUUCGGACCUUGCGCUAAUAGAUGAGCCUAAGUCGGAUUAGCUAGUUGGUGGGGUAAAGGCCUACCAAGGCGACGAUCUGUAGCGGGUCUGAGAGGAUGUUCCGCCAAACUGGGACUGAGAAACGGCCCAGACUCUUACGGGAGGAAGCAGUGGGGAAUAUUAGGCAAUGGGGGGAACCCUGAUCCAGCCAUGCCGCGUGUGUGAAGAAGGCCUUAUGGUUGUAAAGCACUUUAAGCGAGGAGGAGUCUACUGAGACUAAUACUCUUGGAUAGUGGACGUUACUCGCAGAAUAAGCACCGGCUAACUCUGUGCCAGCCGCCGCCGUAACAC